rnacentral:rRNA from 1 species
GAUACCCUAUUAUUGGGAAUGUGAUUUUUGAACUAUAAUUAUUUUGAGUUAUGAUCUUUAAAGUUAAAAAAUUUGGCGGUAUUUUAGUCUGUUCAGAGGAACCUGUUUUUUAAUUGAUAAUCCACGAUUAUUAGUACUUUUUCUUUAAAUUUGUAUAUCGUCGUUAAUAAAAAUUUUGGGAGGAUAAUAAUUUUUGGGAUUUUUAAUUAAAUAAUAAUUCAGAUCAAGGUGCAGUUUAUGGGAGAGUUAAAAUGGGUUACAUUAUGGUUAGAUGUGGUUUUUAAUUUUAAAAGUUAAAAUAAAGUGGAUUUGAUAGUAAAUUAUUUGUUUUUGAUUUUUGAUUUAGCUCUAAAAUAUGUACACAUCGCC